AUUGAACGCUGGCGGCAUGCCUUACACAUGCAAGUCGAACGGCAGCGGGCCUUCGGGUGCCGGCGAGUGGCGAACGGGUGAGUAAUGCAUCGGAACGUGCCAUUGAGUGGGGGGAUAACGUAGCGAAAGUUGCGCUAAUACCGCAUAUUCUGUGAGCAGGAAAGCAGGGGACCGCAAGGCCUUGCGCUCUUUGAGCGGCCGAUGUCAGAUUAGCUAGUUGGUGAGGUAAAGGCUUACCAAGGCGACGAUCUGUAGCGGGUCUGAGAGGAUGAUCCGCCACACUGGAACUGAGACACGGUCCAGACUCCUACGGGAGGCAGCAGUGGGGAAUUUUGGACAAUGGGGGCAACCCUGAUCCAGCCAUGCCGCGUGAGUGAAGAAGGCC
rnacentral:rRNA from 1 species